rnacentral:lncRNA from 1 species
GCGAAACGAGCGUAGCUUCCUUGUCGUGUGGCCUCAGUCCUUCGCCGUCCCUCGCCGUCCUUCGCCAUCGCACGCCACCGCACCCCAUCUCUCGAAAUCUGCAGACAUCUUGAUUUUUCCCACGCUGUCUGUCAGGUCUCCGCCGCCACUCGACGCCAGGGCGCCGGGCCUUGUGGGCUGUGCUGCACCUCGGACGGCUUCGCACCAGCCAGCGCCCUCUCUCUCCUGCAGCACUCUGAUCUGCACCCCCUGAGGGGCUUCCACUGUCCGCGGGGUGAGAAUGCCCCUGGGAGUGUCACAUGACUGCCGCCCCAUGUGUGUGAGAGGCGUCCUCUGGGAGAGCAUGGAUCCUGAGGUCCCAGGAUUGUCAGCUGACCUCUGUCCUGUGUGCCCAGUGGCCCCAGGUGACGUGUCUUCAAGAAGAGGCUGAGCUGCGGUGCUUGUAAGAGUCAUGUGCUGUUCCUGGGGCUUGGAUGAUGUAGGGGAAGCAAGGUGAAAGUGGUAUCCCGUGGUUCCACGUUCUGUCCUGCUGUGGGGCUGUCCCUCACAUGCUUUCAGUGGCUGUUGCAGAGGAAGAGCCUCCGGAAAUCUGCGUGGGUCUCAGCCUUAGAUCCAAGGACAGUCCAAGGAAGUCCUAAGACCAUGGAGUUGGUGAUCUGGGAUCUGGGUUUGCUGAUAUUUCUCACCGUGAAUCUCUUGGUGGUGUUUGUGGGCACGAGAGGGGCAGAGAAUGGAGAGUGAGGCUACCACAUGAAGCGUCACCAGAGCUGCUCCCUGCUGCCUGCUCAGAGCACCCCGGAUCCACUGUUCAAUCUGCACAAGAUUCGGGGUCCAGACAUGGGAGACUUCAGCUGCCUCAGAGGACCGUGGACAGGGAAGGCCAGCCUCGCAUCCCUCUGUCCAUGCCUGGAAUGACUUUAAUAACCAAGAGUUUUAUUUUUGAAUUUGUAGCUGUCGUUCACUUUUUACCCACCCAUUCAAUAAACCUUACAGAAUUGCUCCAUGUGCUUCUUAAAUCAGUGACAACCUGUGAGCCUGCCAGGCUGGCUUUGGAGAAGAGGGAGGAAUCUACACAUGUCCC